rnacentral:sRNA from 2 species
GAAUGACGAGCACACAUCUUGGAACGAGGACGGGGGACCCACCCUUUCCGCAAGGAAGAACGGACGUCGACAGACGCCCUUGGGGUUAAGUCCGGUCGCCGCACGGCGAUCGUGACCGAGCACCUCUCGCUCGAACCCGACAGCUGACCUCGCAGGCGCGUGGAGAGAGGUUAU